CCAACUAAGUUUGUUCUGGGUAUAAGCUUUCGUGUGCAUGCACGCUUCUUCAGAUAUGUUUAACACUUCAGAUACAUUUAAUACUGGUAUCUGAAGAAGUGUGCAUGCACCCGAAAGCUUAUACCCAGAACAAACAUAGUUGG
rnacentral:miRNA from 1 species